rnacentral:rRNA from 1 species
CGAAUCGCAUGGCCUUGUGCCGGCGAUGGUUCAUUCAAAUUUCUGCCCUAUCAACUUUCGAUGGCAGGGUCUUGGCCUGCCAUGGUUACAACGGGUAACGGAGGGUUAGGGCUCGACCCCGGAGAAGGAGCCUGAGAAACGGCUACUACAUCCAAGGAAGGCAGCAGGCGCGCAAAUUACCCAAUCCCGAUUCGGGGAGGUAGUGACAAUAAAUACUGAUACAGGGCUCUUUUGGGUCUUGUAAUUGGAAUGAGUACAAUUUAAAUCCCUUAACGAGGAACAAUUGGAGGGCAAGUCUGGUGCCAGCAGCCGCGGUAAUUCCAGCUCCAAUAGCGUAUAUUAAAGUUGUUGCAGUUAAAAAGCUCGUAGUUGAACCUUGGGCCUGGCUGGCCGGUCCGCCUCACCGCGUGCACUGGUUCGGCCGGGCCUUUCCCUCUGGGGAGCCUCAUGUUCUUCACUGGGUGUGAUGGGGAACCAAGACUUUUACUGUGAAAAAAUUAAAAUGUUCAAAGCAGGCCUAUGCUCGAAUACAUUAGCAUGGAAUAAUAGAAUAGGACGUGUGGGUCUAUUUUGUUGGUUUCUAGGACCNCCGUAAUGAUUAAUAGGGACAGUCNGGGGCAUUAAUAUUCAAUUGUCAAAAGGUGAAAUUCUUGGAUUUAUUUGAANACUAACUACUUGCGAAAAGCAUUUUGCCAAGGAUGUUU